rnacentral:tRNA from 1 species
GGGGAUAUAGCUCAGUUGGUAGAGUGCUUGCCUCAAAUGCACAAGGCCCUGGGUUCAAUCCCCAGCACCACUA